rnacentral:rRNA from 1 species
GAUGAACGCUGGCGGCGUGCCUAAUACAUGCAAGUCGAGCGAACAGACGAGGAGCUUGCUCCUCUGACGUUAGCGGCGGACGGGUGAGUAACACGUGGAUAACCUACCUAUAAGACUGGGAUAACUUCGGGAAACCGGAGCUAAUACCGGAUAAUACAUUGAACCGCAUGGUUCAAUAGUGAAAGACGGUUUUGCUGUCACUUAUAGAUGGAUCCGCGCCGCAUUAGCUAGUUGGUAAGGUAACAGCUUACCAAGGCAACGAUGCGUAGCCGACCUGAGAGGGUGAUCGGCCACACUGGAACUGAGACACGGUCCAGACUCCUACGGGAGGCAGCAGUAGGGAAUCUUCCGCAAUGGGCGAAAGCCUGACGGAGCAACGCCGCGUGAGUGAUGAAGGUCUUCGGAUCGUAAAACUCUGUUAUUAGGGAAGAACAAAUGUGUAAGUAACUAUGCACGUCUUGACGGUACCUAAUCAGAAAGCCACGGCUAACUACGUG